rnacentral:rRNA from 1 species
GUGGGGAAUAUUGGACAAUGGGCGCAAGCCUGAUCCAGCCAUGCCGCGUGAGUGAUGAAGGCCUUAGGGUUGUAAAGCUCUUUCAGUGGGGACGAUAAUGACGGUACCCACAGAAGAAGCCCCGGCUAACUUCGUGCCAGCAGCCGCGGUAAUACGAAGGGGGCUAGCGUUGUUCGGAUUUACUGGGCGUAAAGCGCACGUAGGCGGAUCGUUAAGUCGGGGGUGAAAUCCUGGAGCUCAACUCCAGAACUGCCUUCGAUACUGGCGAUCUUGAGUCCGGAAGAGGUGAGUGGAACUCCUAGUGUAGAGGUGGAAUUCGUAGAUAUUCGGAGGAACACCAGUGGCGAAGGCGGCUCACUGGCUCGAUACUGACGCUGAGGUGCGAAAGCGUGGGGAGCAAACAGGAUUAGAAACCCCGGUAGUCC